rnacentral:rRNA from 1 species
GUAGGGAAUAUUGGGCAAUGGAUGCAAGUCUGACCCAGCCAUCCCGCGUGCCGGAAGAAGGCCCUCAGGGUUGUAAACGGCUUUUGACGGUGAAGAACCGACAGGAUGCGUCCUGUUUUGACGGUAGCCGUUGAAUAAGCACCGGCUAACUCCGUGCCAGCAGCCGCGGUAAUACGGAGUGUGCGAGCGUUGUCCGGAUUUAUUGGGUUGAAAGGGUGCGUAGGCUGGAAGGUCAGUCAGCGGUGAAAAGCUAUCGCUUAACGAUAGUCUUGCCGCAGAUACUUCCUUUCUUGGAUGAGGAGGAGGCCACUGGAACGGAUGGUGUAGCGGUGAAAUGCAUAGAUAUCAUCCAGAACACCGAUUGCGAAGGCAGGUGGCUGUACCUUAAUCGACGCUGAUGCACGAAAGCAUGGGGAGCAAACAGGAUUAGAAACCCGGGUAGUCC